rnacentral:rRNA from 3 species
CAACGCGACCCCAGGUCA